rnacentral:rRNA from 1 species
CGCCUCUUGACUUAAUAUAAGAGGUCCAGCCUGCCCAGUGACUCUGUUCAACGGCCGCGGUAUCCUAACCGUGCGAAGGUAGCGUAAUCACUUGUUCUUUAAAUGAGGACUAGUAUGAAUGGCACCACGAGGGUUACACUGUCUCCUUUUUCUAAUCAGUGAAACUAAUCUCCCCGUGAAGAAGCGGGGCAUGAAUUUAUAAGACGAGAAGACCCUAUGGAGCUUUAGACUUAAUAACACUCGCUUUUAAACAAUUACACUUCAGAGUAAUAAACAUUUAUCUUAGCUUUUUGAUUAUUAGUUUUAGGUUGGGGUGACCGCGGAGCAAAAAACAACCUCCACAUUGAACGGGGGAACACCCCCUGAGCUACGAGCCACAACUCUAUGCACCAAUAAAUUGACAUUACUUGACCCAAUAUAUUGAUCAACGAACCAAGUUACCCUAGGGAUAACAGCGCAAUCCGCUUAAAGAGCUCCUAUCGACAAGCGGGUUUACGACCUCGAUGUUGGAUCAGGGUAUCCCAGUGGUGCAGCCGCUACUAAAGGUUCGUUUGUUCAACGAUUAAAACCCUACGUGAUCUGAGUUCAGACCGGAGUAAUCCAGGUCAGUUUCUAUCUAUAAAGAGCUUUUUCUAGUACGAAAGGACCGAAAAAACAUGGCCCAUACACAAUGCAAGCCAUACUUAAUAAUUUAUGACUUAAACUCAAUAAAUAAUUAAUCUUCCACAAAACUCUAAACAAGAGUA